rnacentral:sRNA from 1 species
UCUUCAGCAUCGAACGCUAAAAGUUUAAAAAACAAGCGAGAACCUAUAGGUUCUCGCUUGUUUUUU